GAUGAACGCUGACAGAAUGCUUAACACAUGCAAGUCCACUUGAACUUCGGUUUGGGUGGCGGACGGGUGAGUAACGCGUAAAGAACUUGCCUCACAGAUAGGGACAACAUUUGGAAACGAAUGCUAAUACCUGAUAUUAUGAUUAUAUGGCAUCGUAUAAUUAUGAAAGCUAUAUGCGCUGUGAGAGAGCUUUGCGUCCCAUUAGCUAGUUGGAGAGGUAACGGCUCACCAAGGCGAUGAUGGGUAGCCGGCCUGAGAGGGUGAUCGGCCACAAGGGGACUGAGACACGGCCCUUACUCCUACGGGAGGCAGCAGUGGGGAAUAUUGGACAAUGGACCAAGAGUCUGAUCCAGCAAUUCUGUGUGCACGAUGAAGUUUUUCGGAAUGUAAAGUGCUUUCAGUUGGGAAGAAAAAAAUGACGAUACCAACAGAAGAAGUGACGGCUAAAUACGUG
rnacentral:rRNA from 1 species